GUCAUUAAAUCGAGGUCUAUAAUAUCGGAUUUUGAUGAAUUCGAGAGACUGUUGACUGAAAAGAAGAAAGAGCGGGACAAGGAGAAUCGGCACGGUCGGCGCACACUGUCCCGCAGCCUAGAGAGGAAGAAGAGGAGCUGGGGAAGGAGGAAGAGCAGGGCAAGCCGCAGCGACAGCAAGGACCAUCAACACAGGAGCAGGUGGAUACCGCUGUUCAAGUAUUUGAGAUGAGAUCCAUUCCCAUUUUGUGCGAAUAGUUGUCAGCUUUGUGGACCAUUGGCUUGUUUCAACUAUUUCUUUCCCCACCUUUUUGCAAUAAUAAACGGAAUAACCAUGUUUUAACUGUCAUUUCAGUACACAGACUCAAAAACAAUCCCAAGAGACUGUUGUGAGGUACAGCAAUACAGCGGACAGUUACUUGCAUGACACCUUCAAAGUAUAACUGCAAAUACUGAGCUGUCCAUCUGUUGGUUAAGUACUGUACUUGGUGGUUGUGUGUACUAACGUUAGAAUUGCUUCUUAAUACAAUUUCAAGGUAAGGGGUGACGACUUGGAUCUGUAGCUGUCUUCGAGGCUUGCUUUGAAAUGCUGUGCUUAUAUUUUGGUCGAUAUCUGAUGUCUAAUUCAUAUAGAAAUGUGACCAUGUCGAUGCCAGGAAGAUAGAGUUCUGAGAGGAAUGUGUUAUAACUAUCCAUCCAAAAUGUAUAUAUUUUUAAUAUCCCUUUGAUUCCCAUACUUUUGUGCUAUUCGUUGUCCUCUGUCCACACAGCCUCUGCAUUGCAAGUCUAUAUGUCCAUCUCUCCUGUCCUGUCCCCUACUGUUUCUCUCCUGCAGUCGCUCUCCAGCUCUGCACAGGGAGAAGAAGAAAGUGAGGAAGUACUGGGAUGUUCCGGCACCAGGCUUCGAGCAUAUCACCCCCCUGCAGUACAAGGCUAUGCAGGGACCAUGUGGACGCCUCAGAGCGGUCGGACUGGCUGUUUUCCGGUUUCAGCCAGAUGGAUUUAGGAUCGCACGGACACCACAGAACGUGCGGACAGACUGUGUGAAGGCAAAGCUUCUGAAAGGCUGGCGUAUAGGACUAGCAAGGGAGAGAUGAUUAGAGGCAGCUGCUGUCUGUGUUGAGCUUUUUCUCAGAGUUGUAAAAGCAAGCAGAACAUAAACUGGCUACACUAGCUGUUUCAGCUGGCA